UACGUAGGGGGCAAGCGUUGUCCGGAAUCAUUGGGCGUAAAGAGCGUGUAGGCGGCCUGAUAAGUCGGCUGUGAAAGUCAAGGGCUCAACCCUUGAAUGCCGGCCGAUACUGUCAGGCUAGAGUCCGGAAGAGGCGAGUGGAAUUCCUGGUGUAGCGGUGAAAUGCGUAGAUAUCUGGAGGAACACCGGUGGCGAAGGCGGCAUCCUGGACCAAUUCUGACGCUGAGGAGCGAAAGCCAGGGGAGCAAACGGG
rnacentral:rRNA from 1 species